ensembl:miRNA
GAAAGUUCGUUCCGGUUUUUCUGUAAGAUGUUAUGGAAAAACCCUGAUGAACUUUUUGGC